rnacentral:rRNA from 1 species
GACGAACGCUGGCGGCGUGCUUAACACAUGCAAGUCGAGCGGUAAGGCCCUUUCGGGGGUACGACGAGCGGCGAACGGGUGAGUAACACGUGGGUGACCUGCCCUCAGCUCUGGGAUAAGCCUGGGAAACCGGGUCUAAUACCGGAUAUGACUCCAUGACGCAUGUUGUGGGGUGGAAAGCCUUGUGCGGCUGAGGAUGGGCCCGCGGCCUAUCAGCUUGUUGGUGGGGUGANGGCCUACCAAGGCGACGACGGGUAGCCGGCCUGAGAGGGCGACCGGCCACACUGGGACUGAGACACGGCCCAGACUCCUACGGGAGGGCAGCAGUGGGGAAUCUUGCGCAAUGGGCGAAAGCCUGACGCAGCGACGCCGCGUGAGGGAUGACGGCCU